rnacentral:rRNA from 1 species
UACGUAGGGUGCAAGCGUUGUCCGGAAUUAUUGGGCGUAAAGGGCUCGUAGGCGGUUUGUCGCGUCGGGGAGAUGAAACAUCGGGCUUAACUCGAUGCUUGCUUUCGAUACGGGCAGACUUGAGGUAUGCAGGGGAGAAUGGAAUUCCUGGUGUAGCGGUGAAAUGCGCAGAUAUCAGGAAGAACACCCGUGGCUAAGGCGGCUCUCUAGUACGGUACUGACGCUGAGACGCGAAAGCGUGGGGAGCGAACAGG